rnacentral:rRNA from 1 species
GUGCCAGCAGCGCGGUAAUACGGAGGAUCCAAGCGUUAUCCGGAAUCAUUGGGUUUAAAGGGUCCGUAGGCGGGUUUAUAAGUCAGUGGUGAAAGUCUGCAGCUUAACUGUAGAACUGCCAUUGAUACUGUAGACCUUGAAUUAUUAUGAAGUGGUUAGAAUAUGUAGUGUAGCGGUGAAAUGCAUAGAUAUUACAUAGAAUACCGAUUGCGAAGGCAGAUCACUAAUAAUAUAUUGACGCUGAUGGACGAAAGCGUAGGUAGCGAACAGGAUUAGAUACCCCAGUAGUCC